rnacentral:ncRNA from 1 species
UGCACGGCUAUGAAGAAGAAUAGUACCCUCCGUAACACUGAAGAGAGCCGGUGGUUGGUGCAAAUCGGCGUGAAUGCGGCGGGGAAUGGGCUUCCGAGCUCCAAACCGAACCCUGCGGGGGUGUAGGAUUUGGCGAAACAUCCCGUCGUUACAAGGGAGAACGCAUGAAAUACUCAUGCUGUGAAGAGAACUGUUUUCAACAGUUAAAAAAGGUGGCACCGCGGUCCCUCGUCCUUUGG